UACGUAGGGUGCGAGCGUUAAUCGGAAUUACUGGGCGUAAAGCGUGCGCAGGCGGUUUUGUAAGCCAGAUGUGAAAUCCCCGGGCUUAACCUGGGAAUGGCAUUUGGGACUGCAAGGCUGGAGUGCGGCAGAGGAGACUGGAAUUCCUGGUGUAGCAGUGAAAUGCGCAGAUAUCAGGAAGAACACCCGUGGCGAAAGCGGCUCCUCUGGAAACGGGUACUGAGGCUGAGACGCGAAAAGCGUGGGGAGCGAAACGGGG
rnacentral:rRNA from 1 species